CCGCGCCUCGACCCGACACCGAGCAGAGGACGGGGGGCAACCACCACCCGAGCCUCCGGCGUCCGGUUCAGGGUUGGUGUAGAACAGACAAAUGCAGGUGUCGAUUUGCAGCUUCCUCCAUCUCUUCACCAAAAUUCAGAGCUUCCUCCUCAACUCCGGUCACCACCAACCCCAUCGUCAGGUGCAGCGCAGACCGGAUUGCAGCUUCCACUACAUCAGGUGGAGUUCACUAAUUCGCUUUUAGCAAUUACAAAAGCAGGCCCGAAGACCUUAUAUCUAUGUCUCCCUCUACAAGCAAGUUCUUUCUGUUUGUUCAGUUACGUGCAGUCUGCUCAGACAGGGUGCUAGGUAGAACCCAUGACAAUGUUGAUUGAGGGCCACUCCUCUUUCUCCUCACCUGGAAGCAAUUCAGUCUGUGGCAUCGUUGAUUGAAAAUGUUCUUCAGAAAAGGAAAAUUGGUUUCUUA